rnacentral:lncRNA from 1 species
AACCACUAUUCAAACAACACUUUCGAAAUGGCAACUGGCUGUGGCAGGCUCCGAUUCACUGUGCUUUAGUCAUGACUGUUGCUUCACGCUUGUUCCUAGAAGAGGAGCUGGACUAUAAUCAAAUGAAAACUUCCUUCAAGAAAAAAAGAAUCAACGCAGUGUAUGCAGAAAAUGGUGGGGCAGAGGCAGGAGGAAACAAAACAGAUGGUUUCAAAUAGCUUCCUUUAAAACAUCGGGAUUUACAACACCUUCUGCAUGGUGUUGACAAGAAACUU